GAAGUCAUGAGCUCUGUUCCCAAUCACAUGCUUUCCUGAAGCACGGAAGGCAGACCGCCAGGGUGUCAACACCUCAGGUCACACCACAUAAUGCAAAGCCUAAUUUGACUUUCAGGCUGAUGUCAACAUUUUGUUACCUUGCUGAGAAGCCCAGCUUGAAGACUACGUUAAUUUACAUUUGCCUGUGUUCCAACCAUGCGUUCCAGCUCACGGCCUCAGGGCAGACACUGAGGCCGUGAGUUUUUCAAUGAAAAGCCUUAUCUGAGAAGGCUUCACAUCUUGUGAGGAUGAAUAAGAGGCAGGACGGCAGCUUUACUACCUUA
rnacentral:lncRNA from 12 species